rnacentral:rRNA from 1 species
GAUGAACGCUAGCUACAGGCUUAACACAUGCAAGUCGAGGGGCAUCAUGGCGGUCGCUUGCGACCGCUGAUGGCGACCGGCGCACGGGUGCGUAACGCGUAUCGAACCUGCCGCAUACCCGGGGAUAGCCUUGCGAAAGCAAGAUUAAUACCCGAUGUUCUCACUGUUCCGCAUGUUACGGUGAGCAAAGAAUUUCGGUAUGCGAUGGCGAUGCGUCCCAUUAGCUAGUUGGCGGGGUAACGGCCCACCAAGGCGACGAUGCGUAGGGGUUCUGAGAGGAAGGUCCCCCACACUGGUACUGAGACACGGACCAG